rnacentral:lncRNA from 1 species
AAAAGAAAAAAGAAAAGAAAGAAAUAUAACCCAGACUGGGCAUGGUGGCUCACACCUAUAAUCCCAGCACUUUGCCAGGCCAAGGCAGGUGGAUCGCUUGAGGCGGAGGUUGCAGUGAGCUGAGAUCACGCCACUGCACACCAGCCUGGGCAACAAAAGCGAAAGUCCAUCUAAAAAAAAAAAAAAAAAAAAAAAACAAAAAACCCUUAAAGAAAAGAAACAUAACCCAAAGGUUGUGAUUUCUUAUUUAUAGCUGGAACAUAGUAGGUGAGUGAGUGUAUUAAUUUGCUAAGGCUUCCAUAGCGAAAUACUACAGACUGAGUGGCUUAACCAACAGAAAUUUACUUCCUCACAGCUCUGAGGCUAGAAGUCUGAGAUCAAGGUGUUGGCAGGAUUCGUUUUGUUGUUGUUGUCUUCCAAGUCUCUCUCCGCUUUGGCUUGUAGAUGACCAUCUUUUUCCUUCUGUCUUCCUCAUGGUCUUCCCUUUGUGCAUGUCAUUGUCUUAAUCUCCUCUUCUUAUUAAAAAACCAGUCAUAUUGAAUUAGGGUACACCCUAAUGACCUCAUUUUAACUUAAUCACCUCUUUAAAGACUUUAUUUCCAAGUACAGUUACAUCUGAAGUGCUGGCGAUUAGGGCUUCAGGAUAUGAAUUUUGGGAGGAGGACAAAUGAGUACCCAAAAUUCUGAGUUGCAAUGCCCUUGUAUUAGGCCACUCUCUCAUUGCUAUAAAGAAAUACCUAAGACUGGGUAAUUUAUAAAAAAAAGAGGUGUCAUUGGCUCAUGGUUAUGCAGGCUAUACAAGAAGCAUAGAGGCUUUGCUUCUGGGGAGGCCUCACCAGGAAGCUUCCAAUCAUAGUGGAAGGCAAAGGGGGAGCAAGCUUCUUACAUGGCAGGAAGGGGAGCAGGGGAGAGAGAAAGGGGAGGGGCGCAACACACUCUUAAAUAACCAGAUCUCAUGAGAACUCACUCACUAUCUCCAGGACAGUACCGAGGAGAUGGUGUUAAACCAUUCAUGAGAAAUACACACUCUCACAAUCCAAUCACCUCUGACCGGGCCCCACAUUCAACACUGGGGAUUACGAUUUAACAUGAGAUUUGGUGGGGACACAGAUUCAAACCAUAUUAGUCCUCAUCUCUCAAAUAGAGACGAUGACACCUACCUCGGUGCAGGGGAAGCCCUUAGGACAGAGUAGGGGUUUGAUUAAUAAAAAUAUUCUUUCUGGUACCAGCUCAAUGACCUGCCAUUAAUCCAGUUUCUGUUCUGGAGGCGGAUGAGGGGAGGAGAGAUGACUCCCUCAGCCACUGGUCUGGUCUGGAAUCUCUCUCUUCAAAGCAUUGUCCCCAUCCCACCAGCAUCAUUUGUGAGCUUUUUGGAAAUGCAGAAUCUCGGACCCCACGCCAGAUCUAUACUGAGUCAGAAGCUCAGCCUCCCAAGCAGCUGGGACUACAGGAGCAUACAACUAAGCCUGGCUAAUUUUUGUGUGGUUUUUUUUUUUUUUUUUUUUGAGUUUUUUUUGUUGUUGUUGUUGUUGGUUUUGUAGAGACAGGGUAUUGCUAUGUUUCCCCAGGUGGUUUUGAACCCCUGGGCUCAAGCAAUCCUCCUGCUUGGCCUCCCAAAGUGCUGGGAUUACAAGCAUGAGCUGCCGCACCUGGCCCUGAAUAUAAAAAAAUUGAAAAAGAAAGCAAAAAGAGAGAGAUUGGUCGAAUUACUCAGAGACGCUGAGCUACAGAGGGAAAAAAAACAGAACUCAAAUCCUGCAUUGAAAGUCUGAGCUCUUAAUCACGAUGUUGUACACUUCUGUUGUACCUAUGAGGAACUAUAUAAAAGAUACAAAGGAAAGAGGCCUAUAAUCACCAGAACUUCUGUUAUCUGUCAGGCAUCUCCAUGGGCAUAUUCUAUUUAAUCUUUGCAGCAGUCCUAUGGGAUUGAUUUUAUUAUCACGAUUAUUCUUUUCUUUUUUCUUUUUACCAAUGAGAAAAUAAAGAGGCACAGAGGUCGGGAGCAGAGGAGGGUGGUAAAACACAGGUAGUGUCAGAAUUGAUGGCCACACAGCCUGUGGGGGUGCAGAGGAAAGAGGGGGAACAGUCUGUUGGUGGGAAGAAGCUGAAGGGGUGUGGAGAAUCCCCGGUCAAUGAUCCACUUUCUUACAAUGUGCUGUGGCUUGAAUGUAUCAUA